UGGUUAAAAAGCUCGUAGUUGGAUCUCGGCGGACCGAGGGCGGUUUGCUUGCUAGUAUUACUGCCCUAUAGUCCGUAGUUUUGCCAGAGGUUUCGGGGUGCUCUUAAUCGAGUGUCCCGGGAUGCUGGCAGGUUUACUUUGAAAAAAUUAGAGUGCUCAAAGCAGGCUAUUACGCCUGAAUAUUCGUGCAUGGAAUAAUAGAAUAGGAAGUCGUUUCUAUUUUGUUGGUUUUCAGAAAUCGACUUAAUGAUUAAUAGGGACAGUCGGGGGCAUUUGUAUUCAAACGACAGAGGUGAAAUUCUUGGACCGUUUGAAGACAAACUACUGCGAAAGCAUUUGCCAAGAAUGUUUUCAUUAAUCAAGAACGGAAGUUAAAGGUUCGAAGGCGAUUAGAUACCGCCCUAGUUUUAACCAUAAACGAUGCCAGCUAGCGAUCUGCGGACGUUUUUUUUGUAGACUCCGCAGGAAGCUUCCGGGAAACCAAAGCAUUUGGGUUCCAGGGGAAGUAUGGUUGCAAAGCUGAAACUUAAAGGAAUUGACGGAAGGGCACCACCAGGAGUGGAGCCUGUGGCUUAAUUUGACUCAACACGGGAAAUCUCACCAGGCCCGGACACUGGAAGGAUUGACAGAUUGAUAGCUCUU
rnacentral:rRNA from 1 species